CCACAUGAACCUACUACCUUGAAUAUGACAGUCUCCUCUGAUCUUGGAAGCUAAGCAGGGUUAGGUCUGGUUAGUAUUUGCAUGGC
rnacentral:rRNA from 1 species